rfam:Corynebacterium phocae strain M408/89/1, complete genome.
UUGCUUACUUCUUCACUCGGAUCGUUCGGCACGUACCUGCCGAUGAAAGGAAGCCAUCA